AGGAGCUCAGAUUAUCCCACCCAACCAUUAAGCAGUGCAACGAGUUUGCUUAGUGCCAUUUUAAUAGCCUGCUUCUUUAAGAUGCUUUUAAUUCUGCAUUCAGCUUUCAGCCCCAAACGCUGCUAGCACUGUCUGAUCUCAGCACGACAAGGGAAAGUACCACAAGGCCUCUGCUCUGCUACAGUAUUUCUGACAAACACAGCUGAAGAAAACUAUAUGCCCAGAUUACGAGGCUAACAAGUAUUCCCCAAAUUAAUGAUGAACUGCAUUCAUUUUACUUUUUGCUCUUGCUGGUAAGAAAGCGCCAAAGCUUUCCUCUGAAACCUCCGCUUCAACCACAGCAGGAAUGACUAAUUAUAAGCACCCUGUCUAGGGCAGAAAGAAAAGGAAAGAAAUAGUUUGUCUAAGCUUAUGGAAAUGUGGCUGUGUGCUUCACUUUCUGCCUUUUCUUCUUGUCAAGCAAACAAAGCAGGAGGGUGGGAGGGGGAACGGCAGCACAAGCAAUAAAACAGCCUCAGAAAUUCAAAGCUGAAAAGAUGUUCCAGCUGAUGAAAGGCGGCAAGACGAGGCUGCUCGGCUCUUAACUCCGUUGUACCUGGCAAUCAGCAGGUCCUUCCAUGGCAACCCACCAAAACCAAGGCCACGGAGCCGUGGUACCAUCAGCCACACACAAAUGGACAGGAAGACAGACCACGAAGGACAAGACACUGUCUAUCUUCAAGAGCCUGGAAAAAAACCAUACGUAUUCUUUUCCACUGGCUACAGCAAUCUAAUCUGUCCCGGUCCAUGAGAGAUGUGACAAGGUCUCUGCAUUCUUACCGAGAGGCCUUGGCAGUCUUGGUGUCUCCCAGGAAAAGACGAUUCGCAUUCAGCUGAGAACUACACAACGAGAACAAAUAGGAGCAAGACGUGUGGUAAGCAAGUUCCCAAUGAUAUUAGCCCUUUGCAUUCUCCUGGAUCCUUGUGAUUACCAAGGAGGAGACCAUGACAACAGCGGAAAAGCCAUUCACUGCUGACACUGGAGACACAAUGGCCAACUAGUACUUGGGGUGAAAUAAAUCACCCGAUAGCUGCUUUAUUAAUGAUCUAGCCAGAAAGCUCAUACUUCAUUGCAGAAGAUGAAAGAGGCAAGUAAACCAAGCUGCUAGUCCACAGGAAUGCAUUAAUAUUCAUUUAGCUUUUUAUACACUGCAGGUCAGACCAGGAGAGGAGCUGGGCACUGCCGCUGUGUCAGCGCUCAGCAGGUUUCAGGACUCGAUUCCAUGUGGAAUUCCCAGCUAAAUUCAAGAUCAACAAGUGAAGCCAGACAGAACAACACUGAAAACCACACAGACGCCAUAUUGAUGGCUCUCUGCUAAUUUACACAACAAUAUGAGUCAAAACAGAAGCAUCCUGAAACUUCACCAACUGCUCUACAACGUAAGCAGUAAUAGAAAGCGGAUACUUCCCAGAGGAAGCUGUGCUAUCAAUGAGUAUAUAUGCAGUUCAAUGACAGCCUGCUCUUCAGCCUCAGUGCAAACACUUAUGCACAGCUGUUCAUUCACCAAAUUCUCAUUUCACUUCUCUGCAUUAUGACUGCAAAACUGAUGACUGGAAAAACGGAGCAAAAAUGCCACCAUGGCGCUACGGCUUUGUUAUUUAGUUUCCUUUCAUGCUUUCCUAGCAGUCCUCCAUACAAAUAAUCACCAGCCCAAAUCCAUUAGUUUUCUCCCCAAAAUAAAUGUCAAUUGAGUCUGUAUCAGCAAUUCAUUUGAAGUGAAAUUAAAACAUUAUCAAGAUGACUUGUGAUAGCAUCAAACUUACUAUGUGACCCAUCAGUAACUCCAGGAAUCAGUAUUUAUAGCUCAGACAUCGCUUAAUCUGUCAACGGUGAGAAUUCAAUGCUGCUAUAACACAUAACUCAAUCCCCUCUGAUUUCAAGCUCUGCCAGACAGAAGCUUCGCAGAAAGGCAGUAAAUGUUCAUAGAAUCAUUAAGAUUGGAAGAGCCCUCUGAGAUCCCUGAGCCCGAGUCCAACCCACCCCCCAUGCCCACUGAUCUCAUCCCUCAACCCCCAGGAACAGUGACCCCAUCACCCCCUGGGUUCCAAUGCCUGAAUACUCCUUCAGAGAAGAAAUCCUUCCCAGUAUACAGUCUGAACCUCCUUAGUAAAAGCUUUGCACCAGAUAAGAUGACCCAUGCAGAUUUGCAAGUCAUGAUUAUAACGCAGCUCUACUGGCGAAUGGUCGUUCUCCUUCUACUGUGAGGCUGUUCCUCGUGUGCAGUGUUCUGUGCAGCAUGACCAAAGGAGCCUCACCUGGCUUUUCUUUAUUAUUUCUUUUAAGAAAUAAGAUACUGAGACCCACAUGAGGACUUUUUGAGCAAUAACAUACAAGAAACAACAUGUUCCUAAAACUGCAUGCUAAGAGCUGGGUUUUUUUUCUUUUACACCUACAUACCUAUAUUUAAGAGAAUUCAUUGCUCAUAAGAUGUACAAGAAUAAAACCGUUGAUGAUUAAGCUCAUAGGAUAGCUAUUCCAUAGACAGCAGCAAUUCAUGUCUUCCCUUUUCCUCCAACAAGCCUGAACUGCUUCCUGUGGAGAACAGAUGAAAAAGAAGCAGCUCAGAAAAGUAUUUAACUAAAGCAAAUGGCACAGGAAAAAAAGAAAAACUCAGAGCUCUGCAAGCUCUCCGUAUCAUGGCAGAAUAGGGAGCUGAAGGAUUUUAAACAGUGUAUGAUUUCCAAUAGAAAUCAUAACUGCAUGUUGCUGAGAUCUGGGACAGGAGGAAGGAUGAAGUUUCUGCAGAAGGGAGAAAAUGAAUUAGUUUCAGGGCCUAAGAUAAUCACUGAAGGAGAUUAAGAGGCAACUUUCACUGCAGGUUUUAUAGCUGCCUUCUGGCACCAUCCUUUUAAGCCCACCCAGCCCUGGGCUCUGAACAAAACACAAGAAGCAAUAGGUGCCUCCCCAGGACUCCCUGUGACACGUCCUGCAUGCCCUGCUCCAGUCCUAGCAUGACCCACCAGCGACAUCCUUCUGUGAGCACAACUCUCCCACCAGUAAGGAAAAAAACAAGACUGACAAAGACAUGCUCAGCAUUUAUUAUUGGUAUGUUUUGUUUUCAGCUGAAAAAUAAUGUUUAAGCCUUUGAAAGUAAAAGAAAUCUGCUUGGAAAGAGGUCUGUAUGAUUCGUCUUCCAUGCAGUUCUCACCACGGAAACCCUGUCUGGUCCAAGACUGUAUCAACCCAGGUGAAACAUUUUGGGCUACCAUGAAGGAAGAUAAAACAUGCUGGCAUCUGUGUGACAGACACAGCCACAAAUAAAUCAAGCAAUAAAUGACACAGCAUGCAAUUUCUGGCUUUGUGUCUCUUUUUUUUUUUUUUUUUUUUUUUUUUUUUGGUCACAUUAGGGUAAAAAUUUGUGUUCAAAGAGCACAACUGUCUCUGCACCAGGAAGCCUCCCAACACUCUCCACCAUUUCAGCAGAAAAGCAGGACAAAUUCAAGUGUCUGAAGGGAUUAUGGGAUAACAGAGAAGCCUGCUAACAAAAGCAGACAGCCACUGUGGCUUAAGGAAUCAAAACGAACACCCCAACAUCUCCGUCCAUGCUCAGUGCAAGGGCUUUGUGAUGACAGCUUUGGCCUGAGAAGACACCUCCAGCUGAUUUCUUCCUGCCCCAACUUUCCCUGUUGCUCUCCUCUGAGUCACAGGCAAAACUCAACAAGCUCUUGAGGGCCAAGAUCACACAGCUGAUGAUCGCGUGCUUGAACUACAUACACUACAUUUGCCACACAAAUUUUUUCCAGCAGUAAAAAAAAACACAGCAAAAACCAGCAGCUUUAAGAAUAGCAGACAGUCCAACCAACAAGGAGAUGGACUGAGCCUCAGCGAUAUUUGUUGUACUUCUUCUCACUUUGAUCCAGCAGAGAACUAAAAACCUCAGAGCCAGGCCUUCUGCUGAGUGCCCAGCACUAUGGUGCCCUGGUCCUGUGCAGAACUGCCAGGUACUGUACCACGUGCAUCACAGAUGCAUUGCUCCAACUUACACUCAUUGCUCUCCCCCGGUAGCCCCAAACUUCAUGGGUUCUUUCAGCUGAGGAAUGCUGAGAAUAUCAUUUGAGAAAGUAAUGUUCUGCAUUAUCUAAAUAUUUUCUCUAAACCAGUACAGAGGAAUUAAAAGUCAAUUUUAGUUCUGGGGAUCUCAACUCAGGCAACCAUAGUAGGGCCCCUUCUCACACUUCUGGCAGCUGUGACACUUCAAGGUAGUCCGGCUGCUUUGCAAGUAAACAAGAUAAAAUACAUUAUGGAUAAUGCUUUUGAUAAAAAAAAAAAAAAAAAAAAAAAAAAAGAUGUGUCCAUUAAUCCAGUGAUGGUUCACAAAGGCUGGCAAGAAUAUUGACAUUUCCAUUUUAAGCAACAAUGCCCAGAGAGGUUAAGCGAUUUGUCCAAUGUCACAUCAAAAUUCAGAUCAAGGCAAGGACAGACCAAUUUCUGAAAAGCAGCAGAGCAGCACAGAUACCUCGCCUCCAUUCACUGAGGAUUCUGCCAUGGCAGCACGGCCAUUCCUACUCAGUCUGUGUCUCACUUCUUCCAACAGCCAUUACAGACACACGGUGAGUGAU